rnacentral:lncRNA from 1 species
CCGAGCCCCUGACAGCGCCAUAAAUUGGCCGUGCAAAGCCGAGCGCUAGGUGGUCCCCCCUGGAGAAAAGAGCCGCCGCCGAGGGCGCGAAAAGGCGAGUCCGGAAGCCCGCCAGGGAGCCAGUGGCGCGUUUUCCAGAUCACCCUGUUGGAACUUAGCGUAGCAGAGGAAGAACACCAUGGAAUAAGGAGAAAGGAGAUACAAGUAGCCUCUCCAGGAAGAAUGUGACUGAAUACUUUUUAUACAAAACCACAAAAUUAGAUAAAUAUGUAUUUAAGUGUUAUUCCUGAAAGCUGGAGAAAGAAAUCUUACUUCUAAGAAUUGUUUAGCGAAGGAAUAAGAAAAUGUGAUGCUUGGAAGAAAAAACACACUGCCGAGAGGCCUUGCGCUGAGUGUGCUGAACAAUAGACAACCUCUAAGGAUGCUCGCCUGCAAUUCCGGCUCUGCCAUCAAUUCACUGUAUGCCUUUGGAUCAUCUACAAGACAUGAAUGAUGUUCAGAAUUACUUGUCAUGCCCUUUGCUUGGGGCUGAAAACAAGAUGCAGUCACACAGAUUUCAAUGGAGUGUGUACUCUAGAGGCAGACUGCCUGGGAUCAAAAUGCUUGCAGUAUAACCAUUGACAGCUUCCAUAACUUAUCUCUUCCCAGGUUAAUCAACCUGUAAAAUGGGGUAAUAUCUGCUCCUCCCUCAUAGGGUUGUGCAUAAAAAUCUCAUGAGAUUAUAGGUGUAGAGAGUAUGCAACUAAGACAUGCCUGAGUGAAGUUUCCUAGGAGCCAGAUAAUUAAUCCAACAUUUAUCUGAAAUGCUGAACUAACUUGCAUAAUUCUUCAAAUGAAUAUCACACCUUCGAUGGGGACAUACAAAUUGUUUCAACCUGAGGCUUGAAAAUAUGUGUCAUAAAGCAUUCUGAUUUAUCAAGAACACGUUGUAAUUUGUUGCAUUUGGAAUGUAGCUACCUAACUUCCUGAAUAUUUUAAUAAAAUACCUGUAAAAUUACACAAUCAAAACUAUACCUCCACCAAGCAAAGUGACAGAGAUGGUACUAACAUCAACAAAAAGAAUCUUUCCAACCAUGUAAGGUUGUAAUGUUAAAUUCCCAUUCACGAUCAAAAUUCCACAUAUUUACAACCUGCAAACAUCCCAAAUUCACACUUCAACAUCUGUGUGGCUGCCAACUUCUACUGAAAUCUGUAGCAUGCUUUUUUAGAAGUGGAGGAAAAAAGAAUAAAAAA